AGAGUUUGAUCAUGGCUCAGAAUCAACGCUGGCGGCGUGCCUAACACAUGCAAGUCGAACGCGAAAGCCCGCAAGGGUAAGUAGAGUGGCGCACGGGUGAGUAACACGUGGACAACCUGCCUUCGAGUGGGGAAUAACCUUCCGAAAGGAGGGCUAAUACCGCAUAACACCUCGGAACACAAGUUCUGGGGUUGAAAAGAGCAAUUUGCUCGAAGAGGGGUCCGCGCCUGAUUAGCUAGUUGGUGAGGUAACGGCUCACCAAGGCUUCGAUCUGUAGCCGUCCUGAGAGGGAGCACGGCCACACUGGAACUGAGACACGGUCCAGACUCCUACGGGAGGCAGCAGUGGGGAAUUUUUGGCAAUGGGCGAAAGCCUGACCAAGCAACGCCGCGUGGGUGAUGAAGUAUCUUGGUACGUAAAACCCUUUCGGCAGGGACGAACCUAAUGACGGUACCUGCGGAAGAAGCCCCGGCUAACUCCGUGCCAGCAGCCGCGGUAAUACGGGGGGGGCAAGCGUUGUUCGGAAUUACUGGGCGUAAAGGGCGCGUAGGCGGUUGGAUAAGUCAGCUGUGAAAACCACGGGCUUAACUCGUGGCCUGCAGUUGAAACUGUCUGGCUUGAGUGUGGGAGAGGAGA
rnacentral:rRNA from 1 species